rnacentral:lncRNA from 1 species
UUUCUUCCUCUUUUUAUUUUUACUUUUUUGUGGAUCCAAUUCAGUUAUGCCCUAAAAAUGCAGUUGUCUUCUGGUUUUAUAAACUUGCUGGUUUUGUUUUGUGGUUCUUUUAUAAGCCUUCAUCGACAAUACUGGUUUUUUUGUGUGGAUUCAAUUCAGUGUAAAUGACUUGGCAGCUCUAAAUUGGGAAUCAUGCUCCUUAGAGCUUGAUUCGAGUGAAGAUGCGGCAGAAUCGGUCUCUCAACUGGUAUUAGUGGGACGCAUAACAGGGAAAAAGAGUUACGGUCUGGGCCUAGUGGGAAGCAUAAUUUACCAGCAUGUGGAAUGUCAUAUCGGAGGUAAUAAUCCAAAAUAUCCAGCCAAAAGAAGCUAAAAAAUGUCUUCCUUUUCAAAUUUCAAAAUGAGAAGGACAGCAGAGGUAUCAUGUUGGGUCGUUCGUGCUCCUUCCAAAAUAAUCUUUUGAUGUUGAAGGAAUGGCUGCCAAAUCAGAGGUUGGAAGCAAUAGACUUCACUCGGAAAGAUUUAUAAACAAAUAAU